rnacentral:rRNA from 1 species
UGCAAGUCGAACGGAAUUUACAUGAAGCCUAGCGAUUGUAAAUUUAGUGGCGGACGGGUGAGUAACGCGUGGGUAACCUGCCUUGUACUGGGGGACAACAGUUGGAAACGACUGCUAAUACCGCAUAAGCGCACAGCUUCGCAUGAAGCAGUGUGAAAAACUCCGGUGGUACAAGAUGGACCCGCGUCUGAUUAGCUGGUUGGUGAGGUAACGGCCCACCAAGGCGACGAUCAGUAGCCGGCCUGAGAGGGUGAACGGCCACAUUGGGACUGAGACACGGCCCAAACUCCUACGGGAGGCAGCAGUGGGGAAUAUUGCACAAUGGGGGAAACCCUGAUGCAGCAACGCCGCGUGAGUGAAGAAGUAUUUCGGUAUGUAAAGCUCUAUCAGCAGGAAAGAAAAUGACGGUACCUGACUAAGAAGCCCCGGCUAACUACGUGCCAGCAGCCGCGGUAAUACGUAGGGGGCAAGCGUUAUCCGGAUUUACUGGGUGUAAAGGGAGCGUAGACGGUUUUGCAAGUCUGAAGUGAAAGCCCGGGGCUUAACCCCGGGACUGCUUUGGAAACUGUAGGACUAGAGUGCAGGAGAGGUAAGUGGAAUUCCUAGUGUAGCGGUGAAAUGCGU